ACCCUUCUUAAGGCAUUCAUUGGGCAUUCCACUAGUAACUCACUGAGUCAUCAAUAAAGGGCAGAGUGGAGACAUCACUUUUCUGUGAAGCCACAGUGUAUUGUGUUGUUUGGCUUCAAACUGCAGGGGACAGAA
ensembl:snoRNA